CGGAGUGUAGCGCAGCCUGGUAGCGCACCUGAUUUGGGAUCAGGGGGUCGCAGGUUCGAGUCCUGCCACUCCGACCA
rnacentral:tRNA from 5 species